AUUGAACGCUGGCGGCAGGCUUAACACAUGCAAGUCGAGCGAGCGGCGGACGGGUGAGUAAUGUCUGGGCAACUGCCUGAUGGAGGGGGAUAACUACUGGAAACGGUAGCUAAUACCGCAUCCCAUCAGAUGUGCCCAGAUGGGAUUAGCUAGUAGGUGGGGUAAUGGCUCACCUAGGCAACGAUCCCUAGCUGGUCUGAGAGGAUGACCAGCCCAACUGGAAAUGAGACACGGACCAGACCCUUAAGGGAUGCAGCAGUGGGGAAUAUUGCACAAUGGGCGCAAGCCUGAUUCAGCCACGCCGCGUGUAUGAAGAAGGCCGUCGGGUUGUAAAGUACUUUCAGCGGGGAGGCGUUAUCCGCAGAAGAAGCACCGGCUAACGCCGUGCCAGCAGCCGCGGUAAUAC
rnacentral:rRNA from 1 species